rnacentral:rRNA from 1 species
GGCGAACGCUGGCGGCGUGCUUAACACAUGCAAGUCGAACGGAAAGGCCCUGCUUGCAGGGUGCUCGAAUGGCGAACGGGUGAGUAACACGUGGGUGAUCUGCCCCUUAUUUUGGGAUAAGCCUGGGAAACUGGGUCUAAUACUGGAUAGGACCAUGCUGUAGGUGGUGUGGUGGAAAGAUUAGUUUCGGUAAGGGAUGAGCUCGCGGCCUAUCAGCUUGUUGGUGGGGUAAUGGCCUACCAAGGCGUCGACGGGUAGCCGGCCUGAGAGGGUGGACGGCCACAUUGGGACUGAGAUACGGCCCAGACUCCUACGGGAGGCAGCAGUGGGGAAUAUUGCACAAUGGGCGCAAGCCUGAUGCAGCGACGCCGCGUGGGGGAUGACGGCCUUCGGGUUGUAAACUCCUUUCAGCCAUGACGAAGCCCUUGUGGUGACGGUAGUGGUAGAAGAAGCACCGGCUAACUACGUG